UACGUAGGUCCCGAGCGUUGUCCGGAUUUAUUGGGCGUAAAGCGAGCGCAGGUGGUUUAUUAAGUCUGGUGUAAAAGGCAGUGGCUCAACCAUUGUAUGCAUUGGAAACUGGUAGACUUGGGUGCAGGAGAGGAGAGUGGAAUUCCAUGUGUAGCGGUGAAAUGCGUAGAUAUAUGGAGGAACACCGGUGGCGAAAGCGGCUCUCUGGCCUGUAACUGACACUGAGGCUCGGAAGCGUGGGGAGCAAACAGG
rnacentral:rRNA from 1 species